rnacentral:lncRNA from 1 species
AUGCAAUAUGUUUAGAGUUUUAGCUACCCCAAAGUGCCCCAUCAAUCCUCUACAAUGAGCCUCACGUACCAAUAAUUCCCUAAAUGAAUAGUUAGACACACAUAACUUACCGUCCCUAAGGAGAUAGCCAUCAUGCCUAUAAAAUUUUUAGAAUAUAAAAUGCUCACAUGCAUGGUAAAUAAUGAAAAAUCAUUGCCAU